AUGAACGCUGGCGGUAUGCUUAACACAUGCAAGUCGAACGGACUCUUCGGAGUUAGUGGCGGACGGGUGAGUAACGCGUGAGAAUCUGGCUUUGGGUUCGGGACAACCACUGGAAACGGUGGCUAAUACCGGAUGUGCCGAGAGGUAAAAGAGAAAUUGCCUGAAGAUGAGCUCGCGUCCGAUUAGCUAGUUGGUGAGGUAAAGGCUCACCAAGGCAGCGAUCAGUAGCUGGUCUGAGAGGAUGACCAGCCACACUGGGACUGAGACACGGCCCAGACUCCUACGGGAGGCAGCAGUGGGGAAUUUUCCGCAAUGGGCGAAAGCCUGACGGAGCAAUACCGCGUGAGGGAAGAAGGCUCUUGGGUUGUAAACCUCUUUUCUUAGGGAAGAACAAAAUGACGGUACCUAAGGAAUCAGCAUCGGCUAACUCCGUG
rnacentral:rRNA from 1 species